AUAUCAGUCAUGCAUAGCAUAUCAAUAAGCGGAGGAAAAGAAACUAACAAGGAUUCCCUUAGUAACGGCGAGUGAAGCGGGAAGAGCUCAAAUUUGAAAUCUUCAAGGUUCUACCUUGACGAAUUGUAGUUUAUAGAAGUGUUUUCUGUUAGUAGAGUGGCAAAAGUUCUUUGGAAUAGGACAUCAUAGAGGGUGAGAAUCCCGUAUUUGGUCAUUCUUUCUAGCUUUGUGAUACACUUUCAACGAGUCGGAUUGUUUGGGAAUGCAGUCCAAAAUGGGUAGGUAAAUUUCAUCUAAAGCUAAAUAUUGGCGAGAGACCGAUAGCGAACAAGUACCGUGAGGGAAAGAUGAAAAGAACUUUGAAAAGAGAGUUAAACAGUACGUGAAAUUGUCAAAAGGGAAGCGUUCGACACCAGUGUUGUUUUUCCGAAAAUCAAUUACGAAUGUUUUAUUUUUGAGGAGUUAUGACUUCAUCGGCUUGCUCCUUUCUUUAUGAAACUUUCUUAAUGCACUUUUCGGUUAACAAGUCAACAUCAAUUUCUUUUGUUGUAAAAGGGUAUGAGGAAGGUGGCUUUCUUUUCGGAGAAAGUGUUUAUAGCCUUGUGCCUCUGCAAUCGGAGAGAUUGAGGUCUGCAGCGUGGAUCCUUCGGGGUUAGAUACGUUUGUGCUAAGUUAUAGCUUUUCAUAGACAACUUGUUGACUAUGUUAAGUCUUGUAGCUUACUCGCUUAUGCUAUUUUACCUACGCUUAGGAUGUUGAUCUCUCACAGUCGAGC
rnacentral:rRNA from 1 species